rnacentral:misc_RNA from 1 species
GGAAGGAUCAUUAUCGAGUCUAAUCUGGCCAUCUUCCUGGCUGUGCAUUCGCUUGCACGCCGGUCGGGCGGUCGGCUCUUUGACUUUUUCACACCUGUGCACCUCGGAUCGUCCCCAAACCCUCAGGUGCGGGGCGGACCGUUUUUUUUUACACCUUUUCUGUAUGUCCAUGAAUGUAUCUUCGAACGCUCUGUGAUGGAGCGGUCGGUUAAAGUAAAUACAACUUUCAGCAACGGAUCUCUUGGCUCUCCCAUCGAUGAAGAACGCAGCGAACUGCGAUACGUAAUGUGAAUUGCAGAAUUCAGUGAAUCAUCGAAUCUUUGAACGCACCUUGCGCCGCUCGGUUUUCCGAGGGGCACGUCUGUUUGAGUGUCACGUCAAACUCUCACUUCCCUUCGGGUGAAGUGGAAUUGGACCGUGCUGUCGACCCCUCGGGGUCGUACGGCUCGUCCCGAAAUGCAUGGUUUGCCUGCAGAGUCUUGCGCGAGCGGGACCGACGAAACGGUGUGAUAUUUACUAUCUGCGCUGUAAGUAGUCGGACUCCAGCCUGCUGCACCAGGAGCGCUCUGGGCUUACAAUGGCGAGGGUGAGGGAAUUCGCGUUCCCUGUGCCCCCAUUACUCUUGUGUUUGACCUCAAAUCAGACGGGACUACCCGCUGAACUUAAGCAUAUCAAUAAGCGGAGGAAAAGAAACUAACAAGGAUUCCCCUAGUAGCGGCGAGCGAAGAGGGAAAAGCUCAAAUUUAAAAUCUGGCGGUCUACGGCCGUCCGAGUUGUAAUUUAGAGAGGUGUCUUCCGCGCCGGACCACACACAAGUCCUUUGGGAUAAGGCUUCAUAGAGGGUGAGAAUCCCGUACAUGGUGUGGACUACCGGGGCUAUGUGAUGCGCCCUCGAAGAGUCGAGUUGUUUGGGAAUGCAGCUCAAAAUGGGUGGUAAAUUCCAUCUAAAGCUAAAUAUUGGGGAGAGACCGAUAGCGCACAAGUACCGUGAGGGAAAGGUGAAAAGCACUUUGGAAAGAGAGUUAAACAGUACGUGAAAUUGCUGAAAGGGAAACGCUUGGAGUCAGUCGCGUCCGCCUGGACUCAGCCGUGGUUCUCCGCGGUGUACUUCCUGGUGGAUGGGCCAGCAUCGAUUUCGUUCGCCGUACAAAGGCGGGAGGAAUGUGGCACCCCUCGGGGUGUGUUAUAGCCUUCCGUUGUAUGCGGUGGAUGGGAUCGAGGAACGCAGCGUGCCCGCAAGGGCUGGGACUCGUCCACACACACGCUUCGGAUGCUGGCGUAAUGGCUUUAAACGACCCGUCUUGAAACACGGACCAAGGAGUCUAACAUGCAAGCGAGUGUUAGGGUGUGAAAACCCUUGCGCGUAAUGAAAGUGAAAGGUUGGGAAUCCUUUAGGAUGCACCGACGCCCGGUCCUGACGUUUACUGACGGAUCUGCGGCAGAGCUUGUAUGCUGGGACCCGAAAGAUGGUGAACUAUGCCUGCAUAGGGCGAAGCCAGAGGAAACUCUGGUGGAGGCUCGUAGCGAUUCUGACGUGCAAAUCGAUCGUCAAAUGUGGGUAUAGGGGCGAAAGACUAAUCGAACCAUCUAGUAGCUGGUUCCUGC